ensembl:lncRNA
GUUUGCAGUGGCAUCAGUCAUGAGUGGACAGAGGAGGGCUCUGAGCCACACAGGACCCAGCCCAGAGACAGAGCUGCCAAUGACAACAUGACCCAGUUCAAAACUCCACUGACUUAAAAACAGACUUUUUCAAAGACAGGAGCUGCUUCACAAGUUUCCUUCAUCUCUUUUUAUAGGCACACUUAUAAUGUUUCCUGAUCUUGGUGGGACGCGUAGGCUUCUUCUAGUGAUUUGAUGUUUUUUUCUAAUUCCUGAAUAUUUUUGUUUUCUUCUUUCUUUUUGUGUGAUGAGAAAGAAAUUAUUUUACCUCUCAUCACAGCUUUCCCUGCUUCCCAUCUUUUUAUAGGCACACUUGUUUGAAGAAGAAGAAGAGUUUAUUCCCAAAGUGGAGUCUGGAACCUCCUUCCUCCCCAGGGGUCCUCGAUGGGGUCCUUUGGGGUUUGUUAGCAUAAUUUGGUGUUUAAUAUAUUUAUUAUUUUUCACAAUGAAAUACAAAAAUACAAAGCAUAAAAUAAAAGUAAAAGAGGAGAGAAAAAUUAAAAUAAAAAACCCACCCGAACAAACAAAACCCCUGUUCGCUGUCAAGUAAUCAAAAGUUUAAAAGUGCAAAAUAUUUUUUUCUUUUUUUUUUUUUUCUAAAUGACAUCAGAAACAGCAGUAUGCGACAUUACGUGAUGGCAGAGCUUCAGUUCAUCCAUUGUCUUUUUUUUUUUUUUUUUUUUUAAUAAAUAGGACAGGGGGAAUGAAUGAGAGAGAGAGGGGGAGAGAAAGAAAGAAAACCAAAGGGGAGAAGAAACGGUGAGAAGGGGGGGGAAGAGAGAGAAGAAAAAAAACUCCUGGGUCACCUGUAUGGAGAAAAAAAAAACAAACAAACAAACAAAAACAAACAGAGGAGACAGCAAACAACAAAGAGCAACAUAAUAAUAGAGAAAACAAAGCACCAUCACAAUAAACUAGCUAGUCAUAGAUAUCAGUAUUUACUAAGUAAUAAACGAUAUUGUGCAGCACGCAAGAUAGACAGCGCACAGUGUGCUUUGAGGCAGCAGCCAAGAAAGCUUUAGUCCGCGUCUGUGAAUACCCA